rnacentral:rRNA from 1 species
CCUACGGGUGGCAGCAGUGGGGAAUAUUGCACAAUGGGGGAAACCCUGAUGCAGCGACGCCGCGUGAGUGAAGAAGUAAUUCGUUAUGUAAAGCUCUAUCAGCAGGGAAGAAAAUGACGGUACCUGAGUAAGAAGCCCCGGCUAACUACGUUCCAGCAGCCGCGGUACUACGUAGGGGGCAAGCGUUAUCCGGCUUUACUGGGUGUAAAGCGAGCGUAGACGGCAGUGCAAGUCUGGAGUGAAAUGCGGGGGCUCAACCCCCGUACUGCUCUGGAAACUGUACGGCUGGAGUGCAGGAGAGGUAAGUGGAAUGCGUAGUGUAGCGGUGAAAUGCGUAGAUAUUAGGAGGAACACCAGUGGCGAAGGCGGCUUACUGGACUGUAACUGACGUUGAGGCUCGAAAGCGUGGGGAGCAAACAGGAUUAGAUACCCCAGUAGUC